UACGUAGGGGGCAAGCGUUGUCCGGAAUCAUUGGGCGUAAAGAGCGCGUAGGCGGCCCGGUAAGUCCGCUGUGAAAGUCAAAGGCUCAACCUUUGAAUGUCAGCGGAUACUGCCGGGCUAGAGUCCGGAGGGAGGCGAGGUAGGAACUCCGUGGUGUAGCGGUGGAAUGCGCAGAUAUCAGGAAGAACACCAACGGCGAAGGCAGCUCGCUGGGACGGAACUGACGCUGAGGCGCGAAAGCGUGGGGAGCGAACAGG
rnacentral:rRNA from 1 species